UACGUAGGGGCAAGCGUUGUCCGGAAUUAUUGGGCGUAAAGCGCGCGCAGGCGGUCUUUUAAGUCUGGUGUUUAAGUGCGGGGCUCAACCCCGUGACGCACUGGAAACUGGGAGGCUUGAGUGCAGAAGAGGAGAGCGGGAAUUCCACGUGUAGCGGUGAUAUGCGUAAGAGAUGUGGAGGAACACCAGUGGCGAAGGCGGCUCUCU
rnacentral:rRNA from 1 species